AAGGGCAGGGGUAGGGCCUACAAUUAACGAUAAAAACGUGACACUACAAGUCGUGCUGCACUGAACCACUUCACAACGGUGUGGCUCCGGAAGAGGUGUCGCCUUUGAAGGCAUUACACAUGUUUACUGUGGGAAAGCAGAAACAGCGGGACAAGCAAUGAUGGCUUCAUAUACACCGCAAGUUGAAUCUGCUAGCAGCACAAAAAACACGCACUACGAAGCGGAAGGGUGAAAAAAAAACAGCAACAAGACAAACAAACACGAUCGCUUCGAUACGGACCGGAGUGAAUUUUUGGCAAAGAGGUGCCAAUUUGACACAUUUAAUUAGUGGCAUUAGCCGGGUGGCUUUGCUGGCGAAGAGGUAAGUCGAAAAUGUGCAGCAAGCAGUACACCUUGGUUCGGCUGGCGUUCGUGAAGUGAUUAUGUUAAGAGCGAAGUAACAACAAGUACAAGGAAUGAAGGACAGCAAAAUGAGCCAUCAAUCUCGGUUCCAGCGAUUGUGGGUAUUAGGGUAUUGAUGCAUCAAAUACGAAUGCAUCAGAGAAGUGCAUUAGGGCGUUUUAUCGUAAGUUAUGAUAUCUCUAAGAGAUUUUUCUUGCGAAGACUGUGAUUAGACUUCUAAGUAAACUGACUAAGCUAUUUGAGUUGAAAUUAAACUUUCAAUUAUAUUUGACACAUCUAUAAUAAUAACUAGUUCUAUACUCUUCUAACCCGUGUAGUGAACAUAUUGAUAAAUAGAAAUAGAAAUAGAAAACUAAAAUCCUCCCGAUUGAACAGAGAAUAAAAAUUGUUAAACAGCUGAAACUCCUAUUCUAU